UACAGAGGUCCCAAGCGUUGUUCGGAUUCACUGGGCGUAAAGGGUGCGUAGGCGGUCGGAUAAGUCUGAUGUGAAAUCUUCGAGCUCAACUCGGAAACUGCAUCGGAAACUAUUCGGCUAGAGGAUUGGAGGGGAGACUGGAAUUCUCGGUGUAGCAGUGAAAUGCGUAGAUAUCGAGAGGAACACCAGUGGCGAAGGCGGCCGACUGGGCCGAUCCUGACGCUGAGACCCGAAAGCCAGGGUAGCGAACCGG
rnacentral:rRNA from 1 species